CACAGAACCAAGAGAUUCAGUGCCACUGCACAUACCUCUUUAUCCGCUGAUGAAUGGAAACCAAAGUCAGUUCUCCUGUCCAGAUCCUGAAUGUGACGCUAAGCAGCCACAUAUUCAACCUCAGCUGCAAAAACGACAUAGACACGCGAUACAGCGCAGGAAUCUAGCCUGACACGGGACUUUCCUCAGAAACCUGGAACGGCCGUCGCGAGCGCAUUGAGCGGUGGCUUCACGUGGUCCUGUUGUGAAGUCCUCAGCUUUGGUGUAUUUACACAUUCCUCCUCCACAGUUCUCACCUGCACUCAACACCUUGUUGUCCUCCAUA